rnacentral:rRNA from 1 species
AUUGAACGCUGGCGGCAGGCCUAACACAUGCAAGUCGAGCGGAUGACGGGAGCUUGCUCCUUGAUUCAGCGGCGGACGGGUGAGUAAUGCCUAGGAAUCUGCCUGGUAGUGGGGGACAACGUUUCGAAAGGAACGCUAAUACCGCAUACGUCCUACGGGAGAAAGCAGGGGACCUUCGUGCCUUGCGCUAUCAGAUGAGCCUAGGUCGGAUUAGCUAGUUGGUGGGGUAAUGGCUCACCAAGGCGACGAUCCGUAACUGGUCUGAGAGGAUGAUCAGUCACACUGGAACUGAGACACGGUCCAGACUCCUACGGGAGGCAGCAGUGGGGAAUAUUGGACAAUGGGCGAAAGCCUGAUCCAGCCAUGCCGCGUGUGUGAAGAAGGUCUUCGGAUUGUAAAGCACUUUAAGUUGGGAGGAAGGGCAGUAAGUUAAUACCUUGCUGUUUUGACGUUACUGACAGAAUAAGCACCGGCUAACUCUGUGCCAGCCGCCGCAGUAAAAC